rnacentral:pre_miRNA from 1 species
GAUGUACUCCCUCCGUUCCGAAUUACUUGUCUUGGAUUUGUCUAGAUACGGAUGUAUCUAGCACUAAAAUGAGUCUAGAUACAUCCAUAUCUAGACAAAUCCAAGACAAGUAAUUCGGAACGGAGGGAGUACAUG